rnacentral:rRNA from 1 species
GGAGGUCCGAACCCACGAGCGUUGAAAAGCUCGGGGAUGACUUGUGGGUAGCGGUGAAAUUCCAAUCGAGCCCGGAGAUAGCUGGUUCUCCCCGAAAUAGCUUUAGUGCUAGCCUCAAGGUGAGAGAUACGGAGGUAGAGCACUGAAUGUCCUAGGGGGUAUUGCACCUACCGAAGACUAUCAAACUCCGAAUGCCGUCAUCUUAUACUUGGGAGUCAGACUGUGGGUGAUAAG